UUUUAUUGUUGAAAACCAAAUGCUGCAAUACUCAGGGUGUUCUCCUUGCCACUAAGGUUGGAUACCGAUGAUGAGACUAAAAUAUAUUAUCAGAAGCUAAGGACAACACUGGGGACAUUUUUUUCCUCCUCCUCCGAUCAAUCGAUAGAUAGAUAGACGUUUUUGGUGACGAUUGUAUUUGAAUUUACGCAGAGUUUGAAGCAAUAGUUCCCAAAGAUGCAUACAUGAAACUGAAGAGUAAUGAUUCUGCUACGUAGAUUUUUUUUACAAUACUAAGCUAAUAUGGACUGUGUUGAGAUUCUGUUUGUUCGUGACUGUGAGACGAUGAAGACACAACCUCAGGGUAUCAUACUGCUGUGUUGGUGAGCACAGAUUUAUAAUUAGGACUAUCAUUUAUAAUUAAAUUACUAUAUAUCUUAUUAAUUAUGGCGUUUCAA